GGAGGCCUAUGAUGCAGGUUCAUUCCGGUCCAUGUUUCAAUUUUCUUAGGAAGUUUGUUUCUUUAGAAAGAAUAUAAAUUACAACGAAAACGAGAGACUGUUUGAUUCAACGGAAGGGAAAUGAGAGAAGGCAAGAAUCCCUUAUUAGACCCCCACUAUUAAUAAAUGAUCUAUCAAUAUCAAGCUUGAAAUUAGUAUAGGGGAUGUCACUCCACACUAAUUUCAUGUUUCAUGUGAAUGACAUAAAAUGGAGGGUGAAAGAAAGAGGUGAUAAUGAAUCGAAUG
rnacentral:lncRNA from 1 species